rnacentral:lncRNA from 1 species
GUCAAAGUAGAGAGUUAAACGAGAGGCUGCGAGUGCAAUUUUUAAAUGGCAUUAAUGACCAAAUUAAGCGCGCCGUCAUGUCGCACGACCCAAAAACAUUUGAGGAAGCACUUUUAGUAGCGACACGCGAGGAGAUGAUAGAACAGGUAGCCGGCAAAUCGCGACCGUUUGUCGGGAAAAUAGAUGAACCUGGCGAAGCGAAUGCCAUUGUGGGUGAGUCUCGCUCCGUAGAGCGAAAUGCACUUAAUACGGAUGGCUUACAGACGGCGAUUAAACAAAUUACGGACAAACUUAACAAAUUGGAGCCAAAACUGGAAAAAGUUACAAACUCAGGGAUACCGACAGUUUCGCGACAAGCAAUGGCAACGGAGAGACAAGAUGCACAAUACACACCUAGGUACGAACCACGUUUGGCGUACCAAUAUAGAGAAUGUAACUACAAUCAGCCGCGUUAUACAGCUAGGCCACUUCAGAGUAGAAUUCCGUAUAAUUAUAAUCCACAAUUUCGUCCACGGGUAACUGAAAGUUAUAGGCCAA